rnacentral:rRNA from 1 species
AUGAUGAAUAAGAAGGACUCAAGGGAGGAGGAGCGCCGGCGUUUCAAGGCGGAGCAAAUGGAUGCUUUCAUGGAGAUCCAAAGGAGGAGGCUUGAUCUUGACGCUGAGAAGCAAGCCAAGAUGUUCGAGCUCGAGGCGGAGAAGCAAGCCAGGAUGCUAGAGAUCGAGGCCGCCAACGCCAAGACCAAGGCGAAAGAAGUGGCACUUGCGAGCAUGAUGACCGGGGUGGAGAUCAUGAAGGUGGAUCUCAACACCGUGUCGCCAAGGAAGAGGCCAUGGUUCGAGAAGAUCCAGGCCGACAUGCUCAAGUUCGCCGGCGAGUGA